rnacentral:rRNA from 1 species
UACGAAGGGGGCUAGCGUUGUUCGGAAUUACUGGGCGUAAAGCGCACGUAGGCGGACUAUUAAGUCAGGGGUGAAAUCCCGGGGCUCAACCCCGGAACUGCCUUUGAUACUGGUAGUCUCGAGUCCGGAAGAGGUGAGUGGAAUUCCGAGUGUAGAGGUGAAAUUCGUAGAUAUUCGGAGGAACACCAGUGGCGAAGGCGGCUCACUGGUCCGGUACUGACGCUGAGGCGCGAAAGCGUGGGGAGCAAACAGG